GUACAGAGGGCCGCUACCACGCGAGUGGAUGCCAAUCCCCAAAACCUCUCUCAGUUCGGACUGGAGUCUGCAACCCGACUCCACGAAGCUGGAUUCGCUAGUAAUCGCGCAUCAGCCACGGCGCGGUGAAUACGUUCCCGGGCCUUGUACACACCGCCCGUCAAGCCAUGGGAGCCGGGGGUACCUGAAGUGCGUAACCGCGAGGAGCGCCCUAGGGUAAAACUGGUGACUGGGGCUAAGUCGUAACAAGGUAGC
rnacentral:rRNA from 1 species